UACGGAGGAUGCGAGCGUUAUCCGGAUUUAUUGGGUUUAAAGGGUGCGUAGGCUGUGAGGUAAGUCAGCGGUGAAAUGCCCCCGCUCAACGGGGUGAAGUGCCAUUGAUACUGCCUUGCUGGAAUGCGGAUGCCGUGGGAGGAAUGUGUGGUGUAGCGGUGAAAUGCAUAGAUAUCACGCAGAACUCCGAUUGCGAAAGGCAGCAUACCGGCGCUCAACUGACGCUCAGGCACGAAA
rnacentral:rRNA from 1 species